UGGGGAAUUUUCCGCAAUGGGGGCAACCCUGACGGAGCAACGCCGCGUGCGGGAGGACGGCCCUAGGGUUGUAAACCGCUUUUCUCAGGGAAGAAGUUCUGACGGUACCUGAGGAAUAAGCCUCGGCUAACUCCGUGCCAGCAGCCGCGGUAAGACGGAGGAGGCAAGCGUUAUCCGGAAUUAUUGGGCGUAAAGCGUCCGUAGGCGGCUAGUCAAGUCUGCUGUCAAAGUUCAGGGCUUAACCCUGAGUCGGCGGUGGAAACUGAGUAGCUAGAGAGCGGCAGGGGUAGAGGGAAUUCCCAGUGUAGCGGUGAAAUGCGUAGAUAUUGGGAAGAACACCAGUGGCGAAGGCGCUCUACUGGGCCGUUACUGACGCUGAGGGACGAAAGCUAGGGGAGCGAAAGGGAUUAGAUACCCCCGUAGUCC
rnacentral:rRNA from 1 species